UACGUAGGUGGCAAGCGUUAUCCGGAUUUACUGGGUGUAAAGGGCGUGUAGGCGGGGACGCAAGUCAGAUGUGAAAACCACGAGCUCAACCUGUGGCCUGCAUUUGAAACUGUGUUUCUUGAGUACUGGAGAGGCAGACGGAAUUCCUAGUGUAGCGGUGAAAUGCGUAGAUAUUAGGAGGAACACCAGUGGCGAAGGCGGUCUGCUGGACAGCAACUGACGCUGAGGCGCGAAAGCGUGGGGAGCAAACAGG
rnacentral:rRNA from 1 species